UAGUGCCUACGGGGGGCAGCAGUAGGGAAUUUUCGUCAAUGGGCGCGAGCCUGAACGAGCAAUGCCGCGUGAACGAGGAGGGUCUUCGGAUCGUAAAGUUCUGUUGAAGGGGAAAAAGAGCGGAGAGAGGAAAUGAACUCCGAUUGAUAUUACCCUUCGAGGAAGUCACGGCUAACUACGUGCCAGCAGCCGCGGUAAUACGUAGGUGGCGAGCGUUAUCCGGAAUGAUUGGGCGUAAAGGGUGCGUAGGCGGCCUGCUAAGUCUGGAGUGAAUGGUACCGGCUCAACCGGUACAGGCUCUGGAA
rnacentral:rRNA from 1 species